rnacentral:rRNA from 1 species
GAUGAACGCUGGCGGCGUGCUUAACACAUGCAAGUCAAACGAGAAAUGAUAUUACGAUCUCUUCGGAGUGACGGUUUUAUUUCGAGUGGCGGACGGGUGAGUAACGCGUGAGCAACCUGCCCUAUACCGGGGGAUACCAGUUGGAAACGACUGUUAAUACCGCAUAAGCGCACGAUAAGACAUCUUGUUGUGUGAAAAACUCCGGUGGUAUAGGAUGGGCUCGCGUAUGAUUAGCCAGUUGGCGAGGUAAAGGCCCACCAAAGCGACGAUCAUUAGCCGACCUGAGAGGGCGACCGGCCACAUUGGGACUGAGACACGGCCCAAACUCCUACGGGAGGCAGCAGUGGGGAAUAUUGCACAAUGGGCGAAAGCCUGAUGCAGCGACGCCGCGUGAGUGAGGAAGUAUUUCGGUAUGUAAAGCUCUAUCAGCAGGGAAGAAAGAAAUGACGGUACCUGAGUAAGAAG